CUAGCAGCCCGUUCGAGGCGUGAUCCCCAUUCACGGCUUCUUCGGCACCACUAGCUGGCAAGUGGCCCAGGCGGGGUGUGGAUCAAGGACGUCGGGCUCAAGCCAGAUCCCCUUCUGUGGGGCUGUGCUCUACGGCGCGGCUCGCUCCCUCACUUGGAGGUCCCCGGGGAACGUGUGGCACACUCAGCACGUCCUGGAGGCUUGAGAGGAGAUCAGAGAGCGGCGCUCGUGGAUAUCUACGCGUUGUUUGCGUUAUUGUGAUAGACAGCUACUCCACCUCCCCAAGUCUUCAAUGGCCUGUGAGACACAACAAAAUAAAAACACAGAAGAGG